AGUGAACGCUGGCGGUAGGCCUAACACAUGCAAGUCGAACGGCAGCACAGUAAGAGCUUGCUCUUACGGGUGGCGAGUGGCGGACGGGUGAGGAAUACAUCGGAAUCUACUUUUUCGUGGGGGAUAACGUAGGGAAACUUACGCUAAUACCGCAUACGACCUACGGGUGAAAGCAGGGGAUCUUCGGACCUUGCGCGAUUGAAUGAGCCGAUGUCGGAUUAGCUAGUUGGCGGGGUAAAGGCCCACCAAGGCGACGCUGCGUAGCUGGUCUGAGAGGAUGAUCAGCCACACUGGAACUGAGACACGGCCCAGACACCUACGGGAGGCAGCAGCGGGGAAUAUUGGACAAUGGGGGCAAGCCUGAUCCAGCCAUACCGCGUGGGUGAAGAAGGCCUUCGGGUUGUAGAGCCCUUUUGUUGGGAGAGAAGAGCAGCAGGUUAAUACCCCGCUGUUCUGACGGUACCCAAAGAAUAAGCACCGGCUAACUUCGUG
rnacentral:rRNA from 1 species